rnacentral:miRNA from 1 species
GCGUGCAUGGUGCCAAGCAUA